UACGAGGGGGGCGAGCGUUGUUCGGAAUUAUUGGGCGUAAAGGGUGCGUAGGCGGUUCCGCAAGUCCUGUGUGAAAUCUUCGGGCUCAACUCGAAGUCUGCACGGGAAACUGCGGGGCUUGAGUGUGGGAGAGGUGAGUGGAAUUCCCAGUGUAGAGGUGAAAUUCGUAGAUAUUGGGAAGAACACCGGUGGCGAAGGCGGCUCACUGGCUCAUUACUGACGCUCAGGCGCGAUAGCGUGGGGAUCAAACAGG
rnacentral:rRNA from 1 species